rnacentral:rRNA from 1 species
GACGAACGCUGGCGGCGUGCUUAACACAUGCAAGUCGAACGGAAAGGCCCUGCUUUUGUUGGGUGCUCGAGUGGCGAACGGGUGAGUAACACGUGAGUAACCUGCCCUUGACUUUGGGAUAACUUCAGGAAACUGGGGCUAAUACCGGAUAGGAGCUCCUGCUGCAUGUUGUGGGUUGGAAAGUUUCGGCGGUUGGGGAUGGACUCGCGGCUUAUCAGCUUGUUGGUGGGGUAGUGGCUUACCAAGGCUUUGACGGGUAGCCGGCCUGAGAGGGUGACCGGCCACAUUGGGACUGAGAUACGGACCAGACUCCUACGGGAGGCAGCAGUGGGGAAUAUUGCACAAUGGGCGGAAGCCUGAUGCAGCAACGCCGCGUGCGGGAUGACGGCCUUCGGGUUGUAAACCGCUUUCGCCUGUGACGAAGCGUGAGUGACGGUAAUGGGUAAAGAAGCACCGGCUAACUACGUG